rnacentral:tRNA from 1 species
UGUCCCCGUAGUUCAGUGGAUCAGAACGUCGGUUUCCUAAACCGAAGGUCGCAGGUUCGAGUCCUGCCGGGGACGU